rnacentral:lncRNA from 1 species
UUGUUUACUAGUGAUCUUAUGUUUCUCUUUUGUACUUUCCCAAUGAGAUGUUUUGCAACAAUAAAUGGCUGCUUAGGUGUUAAGGAAUGUUUUAAGGUAGUACCUAGGGUGCCUUAAGGUAGUACCUAAGGGCCAUUAAGGCAGUACCUAAGGGCUCUCAAGGUAGUACCUAAAGUACAGUCACAAAAAAACCAUUGGUGGACCACUUGUUCACACAUGAGAACCACAUAAUGGCAUGGUAUGAGGGUCACUAAGCAAGGCCCGAGGCUUGGGAGAGGUUGAGUUAAGGUUUAGCUAAGGUAGUACCUAGGGUCCCUUAAGGUAGUACCUAAGAGUAUAGUAGUCCCAAAAAACCAUUGGUGGACCACUUGUUCACCCAUGAGAACCACAUAAUGGUAUGGUAUGAGGGUUACUAAGCAAGGCUCGAGGUUUGGGAGAGGUUGAGUUAAGGUUUAGCUAAGGUAGUACCUAGGGUCCCUUAAGGUAGUACCUAAGGUACAGUCCCAAAAAACCAUAGGUGGACCACUUGUUCACACAUGAGAACCACAUAAUGGCAUGGUAUGAGGGUCACUAAGCAAGACUCGAGGCUUGGGAGAGGUUGAGUGAAGGUUUAGCUAAGGUAGUACCUAGGGUCCCUUAAGGUAGUACCUAAAGGCCAUUAAGGUAGUACCUAAAGGCCAUUAAGGUAGUACUUAAGGGCUCUUAAGGUAGUACCUAAGGUAUAGUCCCAAAAAACCAUAGGUGGACCACUUGUUCACACAUGAGAACCACAUAAUGGCAUGAUAUGAGGGUCACUAAGCAAGACCCGAGGCUUGGGAGAGGUUGAAUUAAGGUUUAGCUAAGGUAGUACCUAGGGUCCCUUAAGAUAGUACCUAAAGGCCAUUAAGGUAGUACCUAAGGGCUCUUAAGGUAGUACCUAAGGUACAGUCCCAAAAAACCAUUGGUGGACCACUUGUUCACACAUGAGAACCACAUAAUGACAUGGUAUGAGGGUCACUAAGCAAGGCCCGAGGCUUGGGAGAGGUUGAGUUAAGGUUUAGCUAAGGUAGUAC